CCAGUGUUUCCUGAACUUUGAUCUCCAGCUGUUUUUGGACUACAAUUCUUAUUAUCCUUGACCACUGGUCUUGCUAGCUAGGGGUGAUGGGAGUUAUAGUCCCAAAACAGCUGGAGACCCAAGUUUAGGAAAUUCUGG